GACGAACGCUGGCGGCGCGCUUAACACAUGCAAGUCGAGCGAUCGGCCAGGGGCUUGCCCCUGGUACGGAGCGGCGAACGGGUGAGUAACACGUGAGUAAUCCACCCUCGGCACCGGGAUAGCCCGGGGAAACCCGGAUUAAUACCGGAUGGCCCGUCACCCUCUCGAGGGAGACGGAAAAGGUAGCUUCGGCCUCCGGCCGAGGACGAGCUCGCGGCGGAUUAGCUUGUUGGCGGGGUAACGCCCACCAAGGCGACGAUCCGUAGCUGGUCUGAGAGGACGAUCAGCCACACUGGGACUGAGACACGGCCCAGACUCCUACGGGAGGCAGCAGUGGGGAAUCUUGCGCAAUGGGCGAAAGCCUGACGCAGCGACGCCGCGUGGGGAAGAAGGCCUCGGUGUAAC
rnacentral:rRNA from 1 species